rnacentral:misc_RNA from 1 species
AAUGGUUUCUUAAUCCCAUUGCAAUUGUGGAAUGAAAAAUCAACAAAUUUCAGGACAAUCAAAUUGAUAUAUGUAUCUGACAAUAUGAAGCAACUAACUGCAAAAAACGAAUAACUUUUCUCCAAGACAAUCUAUAGAUUAGAUAUGUCAAACUAAGAAAUGAAUCCUAAGUUCCAUUAUAACUUAGAUAGCCCAUAACAAUAAAAUGAUUUUUAUUCAAUAAACUCAGUCAUUCACAUUUAGUAUAUGAUGUUAAUCCAAACAAAUCCAACUACAACCAAGCUCUGGAGAUAAUCUGUAUUUUGAUAUGAGAACCCACAUCAAAGAAUCAAUAAAAGACAAUAACCAAUUGAUCAAGCAUCAAAAUCAAACAA